AUGGAGUCAACCUGCAACACCAUCAUCAGAGGUGAAGAUAGCACUAGUAGCGCAAGCGAAAACGAAGACAGAAUCAGCGCGCUGCCCGACCAUCUUCUGCUCAAAAUCCUCGAAUGCCUUUACACGCCCACGGCAGUUCAGACCGGCGUGCUCUCCACACGAUGGAGGCACCUCCCGCAUCAGCUCUCGAAUCUGCAAAUCAAUGCUGAAUACUUUCCAGGCACUCUAGUGGAUCAGAUAAUGACCGACUACACCGACGUGAUAAGCAGAUUUCUAUCUCCGCCGCCUUGUGGAUGCCAUCGGAUCAUCAGGAUCCUGCAGCUCUGCUUCUACCUAGCAGACCCUUACUUGUCCUCCAUCGCUCACGCGGUCGGGGAUGCCCUGAAGAUCGGCGUACCGGAAUACCUCGAGUUUGCGGCCACCGGCCAUGUUGCAUGUCCAAGUGAGGCUGAACUAGUACUCUUCAGACAACGGUUUAUGUCCUUCUUCCAUGCUUGGCCUGGUCCCUUCAGUUUGCUCACCAAACUGACGCUGCGGAGCCUUUCUUUUGAAGACUCAGAUAUCCCCAAUAUCCUCAACACUUGCAAUAAACUUAAGCUCCUUUCCUUGAGAUCCUGUCAAAUGGGCCAGGACCCUGUCCUCAAGAUAGAUGCUCCAUGCUCGGAGCUCAUAGGACUUGAACUUAUCGACUUUGGGUGUGCACAAGUUGAACUAAUCUCUGCCCCUAAACUCCUGGAAUUGGUCUAUGAUAGCUGGUGCGGUGAAAACCCCCCAGUGUAUUUUCGCUAUGUCCCUCAGCUUGUUAAUUUAUACUUCGCCUCUCCUGCCCUUUCUUGGCACACACCAUUCACAUUGAGCGAGUGCCUAUCUGGUAACAGAAACCUGUCAAUGCUGCAUCUGAAUUUUCGCACUCAAAUGAUUUGGAUUGAACCUGAAGAUUCUCGACAGCUCACUCCUAUAUUCAGUAAACUGAGAGAUGCGCAUCUUUACAAUAUCUUUGCAGAGUGCGAUCUGAAUUGGACUAUGUUUAUCCUCGAAGGUGCACCUUCCUUGGAGAACUUUUAUCUAUCUCGGCGUUCAUGUGAACUCAGUAAGACCGAGGAUAGUGCUGAGAAGACCAAUGUGUUGUGGGAACCAUCCAAGGAUUCAAGGUACUUGAACUUGAAGUUGCUCGUGAUGAACGGUUUUAAGGAGGAAGACAAGGUGAUGAAUUAUGUAAGACUUGUCAUGGUACGAGCUGUCGUCUUGAAGAGAAUCGAGUUGUGUGAUGAAGACCCGUGCAAGUGCAGUGCCAACAAUCAUGAGCCUCCAAGAUUUCUGGUAGAUGAAGCUAGCAAGCAACGGAUUAGGGAGCAACUCACCCAUGGAUCCUCCUCAUCUGCGGAUAUAAUAAUCGGAUGA
rnacentral:rRNA from 1 species